UAGUACGGCGAGUGAGUGGGAAAAGCUCAACUUUAAAAUCUGGCAGCUUCGCUGUCCGAGUUGUAGUCUCGAGAAGUGUUUUCCGCGCUGGAUCGUGUAUGAGUCUGUUGGAAUACAGCGUCAUAGAGGGUGAGAACCCCGUUCAUGACACGACUACCAGUGCUUUGCGAUACACUUUCGAUGAGUCGAGUUGUUUGGGAAUGCAGCUCAAAAUGGGUGGUAAAUUCCAUCUAAAGCUAAAUAUUGGCGAGAGACCGAUAGCAAACAAGUACCGUGAGGGAAAGAUGAAAAGCACUUUGGAAAGAGAGUUAACAGUACGUGAAAUUGUCGAAAGGGAAACGCUUGAAGUCAGACGUGCGCGGUGCGAUUCAGCCUUGGUUCGCCAGGGUGUACUUCGUACCAUUGCAGGCCAGCAUCGGUUUUGUGAGCCGGAUAAAGGUUAGAGGAAGGUAGCGGUCCAGGCCGUGUUAUAGCCUCUAACUGAAUACGGAUUGUGAGACCGAGGGACGCAGCGCGCCGCAAAGCAAAGGGUCCGCCCUUUUCGCGCUUAGGAUGCUGGUGAAAUGGCUUUAAACGACCCGUCUU
rnacentral:rRNA from 1 species